CAAUAGCGUAUAUUAAAGUUGUUGCGGUUAAAAAGCUCGUAGUUGGAUUUCUGCUGAGAACGACCGGUCCGCCCUCUGGGUGUGUAUCUGGCUCUUUCUUGGCAUCUUCUUGGUGAACGUUGCUGCACUUGACUGUGUGGAGCGCUACCCAGGACUUUUACUUUGAGGAAAUUAGAGUGUUUCAAGCAGGCAUACGCCUUGAAUACAUUAGCAUGGAAUAAUAAGAUAGGACCUCGGUUCUAUUUUGUUGGUUUCUAGAGCUGAGGUAAUGAUUAAUAGGGAUAGUUGGGGGCAUUCGUAUUUAACUGUCAGAGGUGAAAUUCUUGGAUUUGUUAAAGACUAACUUAUGCGAAAGCAUUUGCCAAGGAUGUUUUCAUUAA
rnacentral:rRNA from 1 species